UACGGGGGGUGCAAACGUUGCUCGGAAUUAUUGGGCGUAAAGCGCACGUAGGCGGUCCUGUAAGUCGGGUGUGAAAGCCCCAGGCUUAACCUGGGAAGUGCACUCGAAACUGUAGGGCUUGAGUAUGGAAGAGGGUCUCGGAAUUCCCGGUGUAGAGGUGAAAUUCGUAGAUAUCAGGAGGAACACCAAUUGCGAAGGCAGCUCGCUGGGACGUAACUGACGCUGAGACGCGAAAGCGUGGGGAGCAAACAGG
rnacentral:rRNA from 1 species